AUGUAAAGAAUCAAAGGGUUUUCUAAACACCACGAAUCCUUUGCCUGACUCCUGACACCCUCCAAGGCAGCGUCCCCAGCUAACAGUGUCUCACGGUUUCUUCACUUCUUGGCAGCUUGUGUCAUAGUUGCUUCCUCUCAAGUGACUGGCUGCCACCACCUCCAUGCAUUGCACUGCGCCAGUACCACCCAGGUCGCCACUCUGGUUCAUCCACAUCCCAGACUGCUACUCAACAAUGAAGAAUGAACUCAGCUCCGGUGGGCGGACCUCCUGAGAAAAGUGCGAAGAGGCUGCUUAUGGAUAAGCAAAGGCACUCCUGGGUUUGAAGAGCUCUGUCCCAGGAUCUGGGAACAGAGGCCAGACGUGGACAGACGCUUCUUGCCUUCGGAUUGUGUGUGCACUCCUAACGGCUGAGCCCUCUCUCCAGCUUCCUGCACCAGCUCCUUGCUUCCGAUUUGAGGACAACCCCUCUGAACUCUGCAGCCUCUCCAGCCCUUUCUUGGCCCUUCUGUAAACUGUGCAUUUGCAUAUUGUUUCGUGAAGCGUUAGUGUGUGAUCUGAGAGUUAAUAUUAGUAAUGAGGAGGCUGGGGAGUGGGCUCAGUAGGUAAAGGUGAUUGCCACCAAGAAUGAGGACCCGAGUUUGACCCAACCCCAUGUGGUAGGAGAGGAUGGACUUCCACAAGCUGUCUUCUACACUCUACACUGCACAGUGUGGCAUAUGCAAGGGCGCACACACGGAGAUUAAAUAAGCAAGUAAAUGGAAUAUCAAUAAGUAAGUUUGGAACAAAAGAGCUCCUGCUUGCCAGUGGCUGGCUAUAAAGGGCAACUGGGACUAUUUUGCUAAUCACAACCAAUAAAACCAUGUAGCUUGUGAAUUUAUUGGUUCCCCAAUAAAUUCUGACACCGUGGAAAGGCAAACAUAUCUGUUUCUGACAUAACAUAGUCAC
rnacentral:sRNA from 1 species